rnacentral:rRNA from 1 species
UUGACGAUUACCUAGACUGUAGUCGUACAGGUAGCGCAGAUAGCUUGCGGUUGGAUGACGAGUGGUGGACGGAUGAGUAAUGUCUGGGAAACUGCCUGACGGAGGCGGAUAACUACUGUGAACGGCAGCUAAUACCGCUUAAGACUUCAUGGAGUCGAGUUGGACAUUCGAUCUCUUGAAUCGCACUUUAUGAGGGCCGCUUGCUCUCGCGAGGGGCUUCUCUCUGCUAGGCCACGUGCCCUAGCUGGUCUGAGAGGAUGACCAGCCCCACUGGAACUGGAACACGUCCCCGACUCCCUCGGGAUGCUGCCUGGGAGUCUCCUGUGAAGUGCGCGCCGGCCCGAUGGGGACAUACCGAGAGUGUUGAGAUCGUUGCGGGGUCGUAACCCAAUUUUUCACAACAAGGAAGGGACACAGCCAUGCAACCCCGUCGAUUAAAGGUCCCGAAGGAACCAAACGCCGCUUUUCCAAGGUCCCUGGGUGUCGAGAGUAGGUGAGGGUCUUCCCGUUAUCAUGAAAUUAAAGGACAUGAUCCCACCGGCUGGGGGGGGUCCCAGGUCGAAUUUUUAAAACUUUGACCCUGCCGGCGGUCCUCCCUUGGAAUCGGAUUGACUGGGUCUUUUCGAAAAGCGACGCAUUCCGGGGCGAACGGCGAAGUGGACAACAGAUAACGGAGUGAUACCACGAGGGGUAAGGCAGCCCGCUUUGGACACAAGACUGUUUUCUCAUGUUGAAAAAUCAGUCGUUUAUCCAGCAGGGACUCCCAUACCCCUGGGGAGUCCUCGCCGAUACUCGACGCCGUUCUAGCGGUUACUCCUGGGAGAUGCUUCGCCUUCCUGAGAUACUCUGUCAGGCCGAUCUGCAAGGCAGUACCGACGUGAGGCUCGAGAUUCUAAUGAUCUGACUGGAGACACGCACAGCGGUGCGAUUAUGCGCGGUAUCGGAUCACCGUUGAACCCUCGAUAAUCCUGCGAUA